CUGCUGCCAGCUGGUGGCGCUAUGACUAUAACUGGAUUUUGUCAUGUAGAUUUCUUCAGUCCAGCACUUUUAUCAAGCAUAUGAAAUUUAGUGCAGAUUGAAUAUGGAAUGUUUGAGUUAGUAUAAAGCAUGUUGUGUCCUAUUGCCAACAGGUGGCGCUAUGAUUAUAACUGAACAUUGGCCUUUAGAUAUCUUCAGGCCAUGACUCUUAUCAAAUAUUUGAAGUUUGGUGCAGAUUGGACAUUGCAUGUUUAAGUUAGUGUAAAACAAGCCAUUUUCUGUUGUCAGCAGGUGGCGCUAUGAUUAUAGUGGAAUAUUGACCUUCAGAUGUGUUCAGGCCAAGAC
ensembl:lncRNA